rnacentral:rRNA from 1 species
AGAGUUUGAUCAUGGCUCAGGAUGAACGCUGGCGGCGUGCCUAACACAUGCAAGUCGAGCGAGAAGGUUAAGAAUGAUUCUUCGGAUGAAUGAUUAACUGGAGAGCGGCGGACGGGUGAGUAACGCGUGGGUAACCUGCCCUAUGGAGGGGGAUAACUAAGUGAAAACUUAGCUAAUACCGCAUAAGCGCACAGGAUCGCAUGAUCCAGUGUGAAAAACUCCGGUGCCAUAGGAUGGACCCGCGUAAGAUUAGCUAGUUGGUGAGGUAAUGGCUCACCAAGGCGACGAUCUUUAGCCGACCUGAGAGGGUGAUCGGCCACAUUGGGACUGAGACACGGCCCAAACUCCUACGGGAGGCAGCAGUGGGGGAUAUUGCACAAUGGGGGAAACCCUGAUGCAGCAACGCCGCGUGAAGGAAGACGGAUUUCGGUCUGUAAACUUCUAUCAGCUGGGAAGAAAAUGACGGUACCAGACUAAGAAGCCCCGGCUAACUACGUGCCAGCAGCCGCGGUAAUACGUAGGGGGCAAGCGUUAUCCGGAUUUACUGGGUGUAAAGGGUUCGUAGGCGGUCACUUAAGUCAGAUGUGAAAGCCCGAGGCUCAACCUCGGGACUGCAUUUGAAACUGGGUAACUAGAGUACAGGAGAGGAAAGCGGAAUUCCUAGUGUAGCGGUGAAAUGCGUAGAUAUUAGGAAGAACAC